rnacentral:rRNA from 1 species
CUACGGGAGGCAGCAGUGGGGAAUAUUGGACAAUGGGGGCAACCCUGAUCCAGCAAUGCCGCGUGUGUGAAGAAGGUCUUCGGAUUGUAAAGCACUUUCACUAGGGAAGAUGAUGACGGUACCUAGAGAAGAAGCCCCGGCUAACUUCGUGCCAGCAGCCGCGGUAAUACGAAGGGGGCUAGCGUUGCUCGGAAUGACUGGGCGUAAAGGGCGCGUAGGCUGUUUGUACAGUCAGAUGUGAAAUCCCCGGGCUUAACCUGGGAACUGCAUUUGAUACGUGCAGACUAGAGUCCGAGAGAGGGUUGUGGAAUUCCCAGUGUAGAGGUGAAAUUCGUAGAUAUUGGGAAGAACACCGGUUGCGAAGGCGGCAACCUGGCUCGGAACUGACGCUGAGGCGCGAAAGCGUGGGGAGCGAACAGGAUUAGAUACCCUGGUAGUCCACGCUGUAAACGAUGUGUGCUGGAUGUUGGGUGAUUUUAUCAUUCAGUGUCGGAGCUAACGCGUUAAGCACACCGCCUGGGGAGUACGGCCGCAAGGUUGAAACUCAANGGAAUUGACGGGGGNCCGCACAAGCGGUG